AACGCACAUUGCGCCCCCUGGUAUUCCGGGGGGCAUGCCUGUCCGAGCGUCAUUGCUGCCCUCAAGCACGGCUUGUGUGUUGGGCCCCGUCCCCUACCCCGGGGACGGGCCCGAAAGGCAGCGGCGGCACCGCGUCCGGUCCUCGAGCGUAUGGGGCUUUGUCACCCGCUCUGUAGGCCCGGCCGGCGCCAGCCGACACCCAACUUUAUUUCUAAGGUUGACCUCGGAUCAGGUAGGGAUACCCGCUGAACUUAA
rnacentral:misc_RNA from 1 species